AUGGCGCAGCAGCUGCUGCUUCUCCUACCCGCGCCUUCGGGGACGUUCUCGAAGCCACUCCCUUCCCCUGCCCCCUCCAUGCCCCGGCGCCAUGUCCCCUCCAUCUCCAUCACACGCCGAUUGGUGGCGGGAGUCGCCGCCGCCCGCCGCGACCUGCUCCGCUGCGGAAUGCGGCGCUCAGAUUUGGUGUCCGAAUUGGAGCUCGCCAAGGACAAGAAGCAGCAGGGUGGUAGUGCCAAUGCCAUAUUCUGGAUCUUGCUGCUUAAUUUUGGACUCUAUGUUGCAGACCACUUGUUACAGAUCCGGCAGAUAAAGGCACUCUACCUGUACCAUGCAUUCCCGUCUUGGUAUCAGUUUGUGACAUCAACGUUUUGCCAUGCUAACUGGAACCACCUUUCAAGCAAUCUGUUCUUUGUGUACAUUUUUGGAAAGCUUGUAGAAGAGGAGGAAGGUAACUUCGCACUGUGGAUGUCUUAUAUUUUGACUGGUGCUGGAGCAAACUUGAUUUCAUGGUUAGUUCUUCCAACGUCAUCUGUGUCGCUUGGAGCAUCUGGGGCUGUUUUUGGCCUUUUCACAAUUAGUGUACUGGUAAAGAUGUCCUGUGACUGGAGAAAGAUUCUUGAGGUCCUUAUCCUUGGUCAAUUUGUUGUUGACAAGGUCAUGGAAGCUGCACGUGCAACUACCAUAACAGGCGCCGCACUUCAAGUAAACAACAUUGCCCAUGUCUCGGGUGCUUUGAUUGGUGCUGCGUUAGUAUUUGUGAUCAACAGAAUCCCCUUAUCAUCUAUUGAUGAUAACCCAAAGGCUUCAAAGGAUAACAAGGACAAAAGAAGUUAA
rnacentral:rRNA from 1 species